rnacentral:rRNA from 1 species
GUCCCAGUUCGGAUUGCAGGCUGCAACCCGCCUGCAUGAAGUUGGAAUCGCUAGUAAUCGCGGAUCAGCAUGCCGCGGUGAAUACGUUCCCGGGCCUUGUACACACCGCCCGUCACACCAUGAGAGUCGGGAACACCCGAAGUCCGUAGCCUGACCGCAAGGGGGCGCGGCCGAAGGUGAGUUCGAUAAUUGGGGUGAAGUCGUAACAAGGUACC